AGACCACAGCACCGCAUGGUGCAGGGGUAAAAACUCCGGUGGUGUGAGAUGAGCCCGCGUCUGAUUAGGUAGUUGGCGGGGUAACGGCCCACCAAGCCGACGAUCAGUAGCCGACCUGAGAGGGUGACCGGCCACAUUGGGACUGAGACACGGCCCAAACUCCUACGGGAGGCAGCAGUGGGGAAUAUUGCACAAUGGGGGAAACCCUGAUGCAGCGACGCCGCGUGAGCGAAGAAGUAUUUCGGUAUGUAAAGCUCUAUCAGCAGGGAAGAAACUGACGGUACCUGACUAAGAAGCACCGGCUAAAUACGUGCCAGCAGCCGCGGUAAUACGUAUGGUGCAAGCGUUAUCCGGAUUUACUGGGUGUAAAGGGAGCGUAGACGGAGCAGCAAGUCUGGAGUGAAAACCCGGGGCUCAACCCCGGGACUGCUUUGGAAACUGUUGUUCUAGAGUGCUGGAGAGGUAAGUGGAAUUCCUAGUGUAGCGGUGAAAUGCGUAGAUAUUAGGAGGAACACCAGUGGCGAAGGCGGCUUACUGGACAGUAACUGACGUUGAGGCUCGAAAGCGUGGGGAGCAAACAGGAUUAGAUACCCUGGUAGUCCACGCCGUAAACGAUGACUGCUAGGUGUCGGGGAGCAAAGCUCUUCGGUGCCGCAGCUAACGCAAUAAGCA
rnacentral:rRNA from 1 species